UGUAUAAAUGAUAUCUCUCGAACCUAAAAUAAAAAUGAUGAAUUAUAUUGAUAAAUGGUUGGGAAAACAAAUACCUUACUUUGAAAGGUGAAUGUACAGUCGCUGCCAUCCACUUGUAGUUCAUAUGGUUGCCUUGUAGA